rnacentral:rRNA from 1 species
GGAAGUCGACGGAACCCUUCGGGGGGAAGUCGACGGAAUGAGCGGCGGACGGGUGAGUAACACGUAAAGAACCUGCCCUCAGGUCUGGGAUAACCACGAGAAAUCGGGGCUAAUACCGGAUGGGUCAUCGGACCGCAUGGUCCGAGGAUGAAAGGCGCUCCGGCGUCGCCUGGGGAUGGCUUUGCGGUGCAUUAGCUAGUUGGUGGGGUAAUGGCCCACCAAGGCGACGAUGCAUAGCCGACCUGAGAGGGUGAUCGGCCACACUGGGACUGAGACACGGCCCAGACUCCUACGGGAGGCAGCAGUAGGGAAUCUUCCACAAUGGACGAAAGUCUGAUGGAGCAACGCCGCGUGAACGAUGAAGGCCUUCGGGUCGUAAAGUUCUGUUGUAAGGGAAGAACAAGUGCCGCAGGCAAUGGCGGCACCUUGACGGUACCUUG